GAGUAAGAGAGUAUGCCUCAUCAAGGAUGUGGCCAAUGCUUUGUCCUACAUGCACCAUGAUUGCAGUCCGCCUGUCGUGCACCGAGACAUAUCGAGCAAGAACAUUCUGCUGGAUUCAGAGCUCAAGGCUCGUGUUGCAGACUUUGGCAUUGCAAGGUCAGUGAAUCCGGAUUCGUCGAAUUGGAGUGAGCAUGCAGGCACACCCGGAUACAUGGCACCAGGUAAAAAAUCCCUAUAAGAACAUCUUAAUUUUCUGCUGAGCAUGUUGUCUAAGAUACGAUGUGGCUACCUGAAUCUUCUCCUCUGAUCAUGCUGCAGAGCUUUCUUACACCAUGAAGAUCACCGAGAAGCAUGAUGUGUAUAGCUUUGGCGUGGUGAUUCUGGAAGUGCUGCAAGGGAGGCAUCCUGGGGAGCUCAUCUCCGCUCGGCCAUCAGAUGGUCAAAAUAUAUUGCUCAUGGAUCUACUGGACCAACGUAUCCCACUCCCAAAACCGGAGGAAUCAAAUGCUGUGAUGUUGGCUGCAAAGCUUGCGCUACAAUGCAUCAGCAUCAGACCGCAGUCUCGACCAAGCAUGCAACAUGUAUCUCAAGCACUUGAUGCUGGCAAGGUUGAAGCUACUCGGCAGCCUUUUCACACAGUUCAAUUGCAUCAGUUGAUGAGGUUCACAUGAAAUAAAGCAUUGGAAGAUUGCAAGCAUGACAGAACUUUGGCAUUUUUAUACUAGCAUAUAUAUGUAGAUUUUCUUCGCUUUGCAUGUAUAUCAUACAUUGUAAGGGUCAGUUGCAUGGAAGAUUUGGGAUUUUUAUUCCUUGAUAUACAUUGUAAGGGUCAUUUUUAUACUACAAUCACAAUGCAUCACUUUGCAUGAUCACAUGGAACUUUGGCAUUUUUAUUCCGUGCAUGUCUCAUCUAUUAUCAUGUUUUACCAUAUGUAAGUAUGAUCCAAAAUAAAUGCAACAAAAUAUUACCUCAGAUAAACCAAGUGCAAAUUAUUUGUAUUUUCUCUGCAGUUGAAAACUAAAACUAUGAUAUUACUAAAACAAAACAUCAUAUAUUUUCUCAGGGGAAAAAAUCAUCAGUAUCACCAGCUAAAAGCUAGAGGGAGAAGGUGACCUUUGAAUGCAUACCCCAUGGUCGUUGCCCCCCGACCAAGUUUAAGCCUGAACUUGAUUUGGAGCUUCAUACUGAUGGUCCAUUCCUCCAUUCUACUUCUGGGGCCAUCAGCAGGAUUAUCCUGGCAAACACAUGGAGGUCAAUAGGCUUGUCAUCGAAGGUAUCACUGCUUGAUUGGAAUUUCCAUGACACUGCAAUGAUUGCAUAGUUAGCCAUCUUUACUUACAUUGAGUUUGGUACAAUUCAAACGAGCCCUGGAUUUAGAUUAAGUUGACUUGAGAUGGCUCUGGUUGAAGACAAGAGAGUCAAAUGCCAAAGACUUGCACCAAAAGAGCUUCUUGACCUCUGUUCUCGGUACCUCAUCUCUGCUGUGCCCAUGGCACUGUUGAGAAGAUAACCUCUCACUUGGAUCUCUCAUGACCAUCUUCUCCGGAGCAGAGUGUCCAAGUAAGCUGUACAGCUCCCGCAUGUGCCAACAAACGAUACAUGAUCAGAGCUGCUUGCUCAGGAGUCAUGGUAAGCUUCCACGAGUAACCAUGAGGAUAAAUGUAAGGUUGCUUAGUCUUGCACAAUCUUCAACUGGCAGAUUUGCCAGAA
rnacentral:lncRNA from 1 species